AUAGAAUCAGCACCCAUCUUUGAGUCAGAGUUUGAGAUGCAAAUCCUUUACUGUAUAGCCUUGAUCAAAUGACUUCACCUCAUUGAAUUAAUCUUCUUCUGCAUAAAAUGGGGUCACCAUCUGCUUAUCUAAAUUGUUACAAAUGGGACAGUAUAUGUGCCAUUCCAGAUACCUAAUCACAGCUCAAUCGAUGCUGGUGUCUUUUUCCUUUUUCCUUCUGCAGAAAACAUGCUUUACAUAGGAUCUCUGAACUUAAAGAAUGGGAAGAAGAAAAAUCAUGUUUCCAGCUUGGGCUGCUGUUUCAUCUGUUGGACUUGCUUAAAGCGUAUGGGUUUGUUUACCCUUCCUGCAGGCAUCCAACCUGGCCUUUUAUUCCUGCUCAAGUAGGACAUGCAGCCUGCUGGGGACCCGUGGCUCAAAUCCUCCAACUGCAGGACUGCCGGCCCUGGGACUCAUGAAUAAUGGAAGUGCAGUAACCACUCCUUACAGCCCAGACGACUUUCCAGGAGCAGGCUGUACCCCGAAAGUAAACAAGGAACAAGGGGCAAGGAGACAGAGAGAGAUGGGGAAAUGAUCCCUGAAUGGAAAGGAAUGCUAUGCACACUUUUUGGAUACAGGAAGUGAGAUUCAGAGGGGUUAAACAGCUUUCCUAAAGCCACACAGCGAGAGAGUCGAUCUGAACUGAAGAUUGUUUGACAUCAAAGCUCAUUUCUUUCCCUAAAUGUCAGCAUUCUUUCCUGACUUAUUAAUUUGAUUUCUGUCCUCCCCUCAUGGAAGUUAAUUAAAGGAAUGCGAGAACCUUUUAGAAAAUCUCCAGGGCAG
rnacentral:lncRNA from 1 species